rnacentral:rRNA from 1 species
AUUGAACGCUGGCGGCAGGCUUAACACAUGCAAGUCGAGCGGGGGAAGGUAGCUUGCUACCGGACCUAGCGGCGGACGGGUGAGUAAUGCUUAGGAAUCUGCCUCUUAGUGGGGGACAACAUCUCGAAAGGGAUGCUAAUACCGCAUACGGCCUACGGGAGAAAGCGGGGGAUCUUCGGACCUUGCGCUAAUAGAUUAGCCUAAUUCGGAUUAGCUAGUUGGUGGGGUAAAGGCCUACCAAGGCGACGAUCUGUAGCGGGUCUGAGAGGAUGAUCCGCCACACUGGGACUGAGACACGGCCCAGACUCCUACGGGAGGCAGCAGUGGGGAAUAUUGGACAAUGGGGGGAACCCUGAUCCAGCCAUGCCGCGUGUGUGAAGAAGGCCUUAUGGUUGUAAAGCACUUUAAGCGAGGAGGAGGCUACUCUAGUUAAUACCUAGGGAUAGUGGACGUUACUCGCAGAAUAAGCACCGGCUAACUCUGUGCCAGCAGCCGCAGUAACAC